GGGGGCGUACUGGCUUCGACGUGGGUGCUGAAACUUAAGGAGCAUACCGGGGCGCCUGAGGACCUCGUAAAAACGGGCACUUUGUAAUUGGCAACGAUUACGCACUUGCAGCUUAAUUGACUGCACGAUCUUCUUUGAGGUGGUUUCGCUCUUAGAAAGAUUGUCAUUUAGAGACCUAGGCUCUGCUGGUUAUCUCCAGCUGCAGCAGCCGAAAUAAAGCUGGGGGUAGGGUCUUACGGAUUUUGUUCUUGGAAGCCGGAAGAUCAAUUUAAAACAUGAACUAAGUAUGUAGCGCCUUAACGUGGAUCUCUUGCGGACGGGGGUUCAAUUCCCCCCGCCUCCACCA
rnacentral:tmRNA from 1 species